rnacentral:rRNA from 1 species
UACGUAGGGGGCGAGCGUUGUCCGGAUUCAUUGGGCGUAAAGCGCGCGUAGGCGGCUCGACAAGUCGGCCGUGAAAUCUCCAGGCUCAACUUGGAGGGGUCGGGCGAGACUGUCGGGCUCGAGGUGGGCAGAGGGCAGUGGAAUUCCGGGUGUAGUGGUGGAAUGCGUAGAGAUCCGGAGGAACACCAGUGGCGAAGGCGGCUGGCCUGGGCCUGGGCCUGACGCUGAGGCGGCGAAAGCGUGGGGAGCGAGUCCGG